GACGAACGCUGGCGGCGUGCUUAACACAUGCAAGUCGAACGAUGAAGAAGAGCUUGCUCUUCGGAUUAGUGGCGAACGGGUGAGUAACACGUGACUAACCUGCCCCUUUCUCUGGGAUAACGCUCCGAAAGUAGUGCUAAUACCGGAUACUCACAUCGAGGCACAUGCCUUGAUGUGGAAAGUUUUUCGGAAAGGGAUGGAGUCGCGGCCUAUCAGCUUGUUGGUGAGGUAACGGCUCACCAAGGCGACGACGGGUAGCCGGCCUGAGAGGGCGACCGGCCACACUGGGACUGAGACACGGCCCAGACUCCUACGGGAGGCAGCAGUGGGGAAUAUUGCACAAUGGGCGAAAGCCUGAUGCAGCGACGCCGCGUGAGGGAUGAAGGUCUUCGGAUUGUAAACCUCUUUCAGUAGGGACGAAGCGAAGGUGACGGUACCUAAAGAAGAAGCACCGGCUAACUACGUGCCAGCAGCCGCCGUAA
rnacentral:rRNA from 1 species